UUUCUACAGAUGAAGAUAGCUUCCUAUGGAGAGGUCAGCAAUGGAACCACCACUAAACUUAUUGAACAGUUCUUUCGAGAAUUACUUCCGAAUGGAACAGCCUUCAAUGUCACUGUGAGAAACAUUAGAGCCGAAACUCCCACAACUCCAGUUCCAACCACCAAAGCCCACAUGACUCGCUGAGAACAGUUUUUGAGAGAACUCCUGAAUGGAACAGCUGUCACAGUCACCAUGACAAACAUUCAAAGGGUUGCGCCAUAGAAGCUUGAAGUGGACAAGAGUAGUCAAAAGUGAUUGUAUAAAGAGAGCACUUUGAGGUUGUGCUAGUUUUAACACAAUGUGAAGGCACAGUUCACCUCAACGAUUUCAGCACAAGUCUCAUCAGAAGUUUUAUUAGAAUAUCUAAUUGUGAUUAUGUUGACUGAUAUUGCAAUUGUGAUGUGAUUUGCUUUACUAGAGAGAAUGCUCAUUUAUACAUCAUUAUAUUUAUUUUCAUUGAAAAACAUAUUAGAAUGUAUUAUGGUGUGAUUUUGCAGGGAUCUGUACCAAUAAAAGAUGUUUUCUCUAGAAUAUGAUGUGUAGGCCAGAACAUCUCUGCAGCAUGACAAUAUUUUUUUUCUUAAAAUGGUAUUUUGACACACAAUUCACCUCCAACAAAUAUUAUGCCUUGAAAAUUGCAGUAGGUCAUUUGAUGAACU